GUCCUCUUUCGGGGCGGGGUGAAACUCCCCACCGGCAGUGAUCGCCCGCGUGCGGGCGUCAGCCUGCGAAGCCCGGUCAAACUGCACCACGACCAGGCCCGACUCAGUGAAACCCUGAGGCCGACGGUGAAGCCACAACGCGCGCGCACCCGCACUCCGCGGCGUGCCCGCCCGCUGGAGCGCAGUCCGGAUGGAAGAAGGAGGGA
rnacentral:ncRNA from 2 species